rnacentral:rRNA from 1 species
GACGAACGCUGGCGGCGUGCUUAACACAUGCAAGUCGAACGGAAAGGCCCUGCUUUUGUGGGGUGCUCGAGUGGCGAACGGGUGAGUAACACGUGAGUAACCUGCCCUUGACUUUGGGAUAACUUCAGGAAACUGGGGCUAAUACCGGAUAGGAGCUCCUGCUGCAUGGUGGGGGUUGGAAAGUUUCGGCGGUUGGGGAUGGACUCGCGGCUUAUCAGCUUGUUGGUGGGGUAGUGGCUUACCAAGUCUUUGACGGGUAGCCGGCCUGAGAGGGUGACCGGCCACAUUGGGACUGAGAUACGGCCCAGACUCUUACGGGAGGCAGCAGUGGGGAAUAUUGCACAAUGGGCGGAAGCCUGAUGCAGCAACGCCGCGUGCGGGAUGACGGCCUUCGGGUUGUAAACCGCUUUCGCCUGUGACGAAGCGUGAGUGACGGUAAUGGGUAAAGAAGCACCGGCUAACUACGUG